rnacentral:rRNA from 1 species
GAUGAACGCUGGCGGCGUGCCUAAUACAUGCAAGUCGAGCGAAUGGAUUAAGAGCUUGCUCUUAUGAAGUUAGCGGCGGACGGGUGAGUAACACGUGGGUAACCUGCCCAUAAGACUGGGAUAACUCCGGGAAACCGGGGCUAAUACCGGAUAACAUUUUGAACCGCAUGGUUCAAAAUUGAAAGGCGGCUUCGGCUGUCACUUAUGGAUGGACCCGCGUCGCAUUAGCUAGUUGGUGAGGUAACGGCUCACCAAGGGAACGAUGCGUAGCCGACCUGAGAGGGUGAUCGGCCACACUGGGACUGAGACACGGCCCAGACUCCUACGGGAGGCAGCAGUAGGGAAUCUUCCGCAAUGGACGAAAGUCUGACGGAGCAACGCCGCGUGAGUGAUGAAGGCUUUCGGGUCGUAAAACUCUGUUGUUAGGGAAGAACAAGUGCUAGUUGAAUAAGCUGGCACCUUGACGGUACCUAACCAGAAAGCCACGGCUAACUACGUGCCAGCAGCCGCCGCAG